rnacentral:rRNA from 1 species
AUUGAACGCUGGCGGCAUGCUUUGCACAUGCAAGUCGAACGGUAACAGGCCUUCGGGCGCUGACGAGUGGCGAACGGGUGAGUAAUGCAUCGGAACGUGCCCAGUCGUGGGGGAUAACGCAGCGAAAGCUGUGCUAAUACCGCAUACGAUCUGCGGAUGAAAGCGGGGGACCUUCGGGCCUCACGCGAUUGGAGCGGCCGAUGUCAGAUUAGGUAGUUGGUGGGGUAAAGGCUCACCAAGCCAACGAUCUGUAGCUGGUCUGAGAGGACGACCAGCCACACUGGGACUGAGACACGGCCCAGACUCCUACGGGAGGCAGCAGUGGGGAAUUUUGGACAAUGGGCGCAAGCCUGAUCCAGCAAUGCCGCGUGAAGGAAGAAGGCCUUCGGGUUGUAAACUGCUUUUGUACGGAGCGAAAAGGCUCCCUCUAAUACAGGGGGCUCAUGACGGUACCGUAAGAAUAAGCACCGGCUAACUACGUGCCAGCAGCCGCCGUAACAC